GACAGAGGGGGCAAGCGUUGUUCGGAAUUACUGGGCGUAAAGGGUUCGUAGGUGGCCAACUAAGUCAGACGUGAAAUCCCUCAGCUCAACUGGGGAACUGCGUCUGAUACUGGUUGGCUUGAGUGCAGGAGAGGAACGCGGAAUUCCAGGUGUAGCGGUGAAAUGCGUAGAUAUCUGGAGGAACACCGGUGGCGAAGGCGGCGUUCUGGACUGCAACUGACACUGAGGAACGAAAGCCAGGGGAGCAAACGGG
rnacentral:rRNA from 1 species